rnacentral:rRNA from 1 species
AUUGAACGCUGGCGGCAUGCUUUACACAUGCAAGUCGAACGGCAGCACGAGUGCUUGCACUUGGUGGCGAGUGGCGAACGGGUGAGUAAUAUAUCGGAACGUGCCCAGUCGUGGGGGAUAACGCAGCGAAAGCUGUGCUAAUACCGCAUACGAUCUAUGGAUGAAAGCGGGGGAUCGCAAGACCUCGCGCGAUUGGAGCGGCCGAUAUCAGAUUAGGUAGUUGGUGGGGUAAAGGCCCACCAAGCCGACGAUCUGUAGCUGGUCUGAGAGGACGACCAGCCACACUGGAACUGAGACACGGUCCAGACUCCUACGGGAGGCAGCAGUGGGGAAUUUUGGACAAUGGGCGCAAGCCUGAUCCAGCAAUGCCGCGUGCAGGAUGAAGG